GAUUUUAGUUCGGUUUUAGUCCAAUUCCAACUGCUCUCAAGUAUUAUCAAACCAUAAUAAAUUUUUAGAUAUCAUUCAUUUAAUUUCUAAUUAAAAAAAAAACUUUUUGUUUUAAAAAAUAUUUUUUUAAUCGGGCCGGUUCCUAUUUGGAGCCACCAGUUUUGAGCUAGUAUUGGUUUCAGGUUUAAGGAGAAGGGACGGAACCGGCCUUUUAUACCUCAAUUUUAGGUUGGUUCAUGAAUCGGAACCAU
rnacentral:misc_RNA from 1 species